UGAGGAAUAUUGCUCAAUGGGCGAAAGCCUGAAGCAGCAACGCCGCGUGCGCGAUGAAGGUCUUCGGAUCGUAAAGCGCUUUUGAGAGGGACGAGAUAGGACGGUACCUCUUGAAUAAGUCACGGCUAACUACGUGCCCGCAGCCGCGGUAAAACGUAGGUGGCAAGCGUUAUCCGGAUUCACUGGGCGUAAAGCGCGUGCAGGUGGCUUCGUAAGUUGGACGUUAAAUCUUUCGGCCUAACCGGGAGGUGUCGUUCAAUACUGCGGGGCUUGAGGGUAGAAGAUGGGGGUGUAAUUGCCGGUGUAUGUGUGAAAUGCGUAGAUAUCGGCAGGAACACCUGUGGCGAAAGCGGCCCCCUGGUCUGCUCCUGACACUCAGACGCGAAAGCUAGGGGA
rnacentral:rRNA from 1 species